GACAGAGGGGGCAAACGUUGUUCGGAAUUACUGGGCGUAAAGCGCGUGUAGGCGGCUUGGCAAGUCGGAUGUGAAAGCCCAGGGCUCAACCCUGGAAGUGCACUCGAAACUGCCGAGCUGGAGUCCCGGAGAGGAAGGCGGAAUUCUCGGUGUAGAGGUGAAAUUCGUAGAUAUCGAGAGGAACACCUGUGGCGAAGGCGGCCUUCUGGACGGUGACUGACGCUGAGACGCGAAAGCGUGGGGAGCAAACAGG
rnacentral:rRNA from 1 species